AGUGAUCAGACCCAGUUCACCACUCCACUUGUUGAGUGGAACAGAAUGGAUUUCUUCUGUGCUACUGACAGAGUUGUAGGAGUCCCGCCACUCCCAGUCUGGUCAUCUGAUGGCUGAACCGCUCUGGCAUACUCACUGGUGGAUAGCUUGGAGGAACUUCCUCUGGUGUUUCCUCACUUUGGCAUGGUCAAUCUUCUUUAGCAGCUUUGUGUGUUUAUAGAUUAACCAUGUUUCCCGAAGGACAUCAAGAGGACCAGAGGGGAAAGAACAUAUCAUUAAGAGGCAAGAUGAGAGACUCAACACGCCUGGCGGCCACGGGGGUAAUUUCCUGGGAGUGGAGUGGGAACUU
rnacentral:lncRNA from 1 species